GCCUGACUGGCUCAGUCGGCAGAGCAUGCAGCUCUUGAUGUUGGGGUCGUGAGUUCAAGCCCCAUGUUGGGCU
rnacentral:tRNA from 1 species